UGGGGAAUAUUGCACAAUGGGCGCAAGCCUGAUGCAGCCAUGCCGCGUGUAUGAAGAAGGCCUUCGGGUUGUAAAGUACUUUCAGCGGGGAGGAAGGGAGUAAAGUUAAUACCUUUGCUCAUUGACGUUACCCGCAGAAGAAGCACCGGCUAACUCCGUGCCAGCAGCCGCGGUAAUACGGAGGGUGCAAGCGUUAAUCGGAUUUACUGGGCGUAAAGCGCACGCAGGCGGUUUGUUAAGUCAGAUGUGAAAUCCCCGGGCUCAACCUGGGAACUGCAUCUGAUACGGGCAAGCUUGAGUCUCGUAGAGGGGGGUAGAAUUCCAGGUGUAGCGGUGAGAUGCGUAGAGAUCUGGAGGAAUACCGGUGGCGAAGGCGGCCCCCUGGGCGAAGUCUGACGCUCAGGUGCGAAAGCGUGGGGAGCAAACAGG
rnacentral:rRNA from 1 species